rnacentral:rRNA from 1 species
AUUGAACGCUGGCGGAAUGCUUUACACAUGCAAGUCGAACGGUAGAGGGGGCAACCCCUCGAGAGUGGCGAACGGGUGAGUAAUAUAUCGGAACGUGCCCAGUCGUGGGGGAUAACGUAGCGAAAGUUACGCUAAUACCGCAUACGAUCUAAGGAUGAAAGCGGGGGAUCGUAAGACCACGCGCGAUUGGAGCGGCCGAUAUCAGAUUAGGUAGUUGGUGGGGUAAAGGCCCACCAAGCCAACGAUCUGUAGCUGGUCUGAGAGGACGACCAGCCACACUGGAACUGAGACACGGUCCAGACUCCUACGGGAGGCAGCAGUGGGGAAUUUUGGACAAUGGGCGAAAGCCUGAUCCAGCCACUCCGCGUGCAGGAUGAAGGCCCUCGGGUUGUAAACUGCUUUUGUACGGAACGAAAAGGUUUGGCCUAAUAAGCUGAGCUCAUGACGGUACCGUAAGAAUAAGCACCGGCUAACUACGUGCCAGCCGCCGCAGUAA